UGAACCAGCCAACGUAACAACAAGAUAUUCCAGUUUUGCUUCUGCUGGACCUGUCAUCACAGCAACAAUGUCAUCAUCAUCACUUGGAUAAACAGCAUCCCUGUUGAUUGGAGAUUCUACCCAUGGCCGAGCUACGUAUCUCUUCCUCCCCCCUUUCUUUAAAAUGUCCUCGUGUACACUUCAUGUGAGUGUGGGUGUAUUCACGAGGACCCCCUUUUCUCCCUAUCCCGCCUGGUGGACUCAACUUUUCGGCGGAUGGAUGGAGUUUCACUUAAGUGGAUGGAUGCCUGGCUGAAUUUCCCAGGCUCAAAGAUUUGAGUCCUGAAUCAGCCAACGUAACAACAAGAUAUUCCAGUUUUGCUUCUGCUGGACCUGUCCUCACAGCAACAACCUCAGCAUCUCCACUUGGAUAAACAGCAUCCCUGUUGAUUGGAGAUUCUACCCAUGGCCGAGCUACGUAUCUCUUCCUCCCCCCUUUCUUUAAAAUGUCCUCGUGUACACUUCAUGUGAGUGUGGGUGUAUUCACGAGGACCCCCUUUUCUCCCUAUCCCGCCUGGUGGACUCAACUUUUCGGCGGAUGGAUGGAGUUUCACUUAAGUGGAUGGAUGCCUGGCUGAAUUUCCCAGGCUCAAAGGUGCCAACCGUUCCGAGACCGUGUGAUUUGCGAAGUUUCGUCGGGUGGCCGACCGACAAUCAAUUCGUCACCCACUCGGCCGUUGACGAUUUUUAUCGGAAGAAGACCCAGUGCGUCGUCACCGAAGUGAAACGCGAAACCAAAAAAAACAUUCGACUUUAGCGCCCUCGUUGUCUUUUAGUUCACUUAGUCUGUUAUACACAAGACAGAGACAAGGCAGCAGACUUGAUGAUUGAAGAUUUCCUCAAUUUGGAUAAGUUUUUUUUUAUUUUUUUCCCCAAUUUGUUCAAGUUCAUAUUCUUUUUUUACAUGUUCGAGAAUUGCUUUUUUGAGCUCUUGACUUUUUCCCAUUUCUCUGAAGAGCAUUUUCUAUUACAGCAUCAGUAUUUUUGACCGGGUUCUUUUAAGGUCUCGAUAACUCCAAGGAGUUGAUUUAAAGUUCAUUUUGUUGAUUUCAUUGUUUGUUUUUUUUUUCGCUUUUUGGCACCCGAGCCCAUGUGGAGUUGAAAUAUGUGAAAUAUACAUAUUUCAAAUUAUUUUCUUUCUUUUUAUUUUUGGCGAAACGAGCGCAAUUGAAUAUAUAUACGGUGGCUCCGUUCAUUCCCAUUGAAUGGAUGACAUCAUC